AUAACAUUUGGUCCGUCGGUCUAUCGAGCAGUAUCCCACGCUCGCUGGAAGAUCAUCUCUACGUCGU
rnacentral:pre_miRNA from 1 species